rnacentral:rRNA from 1 species
GUCAAGUACAAAGAGCAUCGGGUGGAUGCCUUGGCACUGGGAGCCGAAGAAGGACGUGAUAAGCUGCGAUAAGCUGCGGUAAGGAGCACAUAUCCGAUAUACCCGCAGAUUUCCGAAUGGGGGAACCCACAUGCGGUAAUGCGUAUGUAUCAUUAAGUGAAUACAUAGCUUAAUGAAGGGAACGGGGUGAACUGAAACAUCUAAGUAGCCCUAGGAAGAGAAAGAAAAAUCGAUUUCCUGAGUAGCGGCGAGCGAAAGGGAAAGAGGCCAAACCAAAUUGUUUACAGUUUGGGGUUGUGGACCACCGACAUUGACGAAGUUAUGCGAGCCGAAUAGGGUUGGAAAGCUCAAGCAGAGAAGGUAAUACUCCUGUAGGCGAAGCAGAAAGCGCAUAGGUGGCACCAGAGUAGGACCGGACACGUGUAACCCGGUCUGAAGCAGGAGGGACCACCCUCCAAGCCUAAAUACUACCCAGUGACCGAUAGCGAAUAGUACCGUGAGGGAAAGGUGAAAAGAACCCCGGGAGGGGAGUGAAAUAGAAUCUGAAACCUGAUGCUUACAAGCAUAGGGAGCGCAAGUGACCUAGUACUUUUUGUAGAACGGGCCAACGAGUUAUGGUAUGUAGCGAGGUUAAGUUGCUGGAGCAACGGAGCCGUAGAGAAAUCGAGUCUGAAUAGGGCGAGAGUUACAUGCUGUAGACCCGAAACCGGGUGACCUAUCCAUGAGCAGGUUGAAGUAACCGUAAAAGGUUAUGGAGGACCGAACCUAUAUCUGUUGAAAAAGGUUAGGAUGACUUGUGGAUAGCGGUGAAAUUCCAAUCGAACUCGGAUAUAGCUGGUUCUCCUCGAAAUAGCUUUAGGGCUAGCCUCAAGGUAAAGAUACACGGGGGUAGAGCACUGACUGUUCGCGGGGCCUUCACCGGUUACCAACAACUAUCAAACUCCGAAUACCGUGCUAUCAUACUUGGGAGUCAGACUAUGAGAGAUAAGUUCCAUGGUCGAAAGGGAAACAGCCCAGAUCAACAGCUAAGGUCCCAAAGAGUAAGUUAAGUGGAAAAGGAUGUGGGAUUGCACAAACAGCUAGGAUGUUGGCUUAGAAGCAGCCAUACAUUUAAAGAGUGCGUAAUAGCUCACUAGUCGAGUGAUCCUGCGCCGAAGAUAAACGGGGCUCAAACUUACCACCGAAGCUUUGGAAUUAGUAUAACUAAUUGGUAGAGGAGCAUUCUAUACAGGUAGAAGGAGGCGCGUAAGCAAAUCUGGACGGUAUAGAAGAGAGAAUGUUGGCAUGAGUAGCGUAAGGCGGGUGAGAAUCCCGUCCGCCGAAAAUCUAAGGUUUCCUGAGGAAGGUUCGUCCUCUCAGGGUAAGUCGGGACCUAAGCCGAGAGCGAACGCUGUAGGCGAUGGAUAACAGGUUGAUAUUCCUGUACCACCAAGGAUUGUUUGAAUGAAGUGGGGACACAGAAGGAUAGAUUGAGCACGCCGUUGGUUGAGCGUGUCCAAGCAGUAAGGCUUGAAAGUAGGCAAAUCCGCUUUCUACAAGGCUGAGCUGUGAUGGGGUGGUCGAAUGACCGGUAGCAAUCGAUUUCACGCUGUCAAGAAAAGCCGCUAAUGAGAUCCAAGGUGCCCGUACCGCAAACCGACACAGGUAGAUGAGGAGAGAAUCCUAAGGUGAGCGAGCGAACUAUUGUUAAGGAACUCGGCAAAAUAACCCCGUAACUUCGGGAGAAGGGGUGCCUGCUUCGGCAGGCCGCAGUGAAGAGGUCCAGGCAACUGUUUACCAAAAACACAGGUCUCUGCUAAAGCGAAAGCUGAUGUAUAGGGGCUGACGCCUGCCCGGUGCUGGAAGGUUAAGGGGAAGUGUUAGGGCAACCGAAGCACAGAACUUAAGCCCCAGUAAACGGCGGCCGUAACUAUAACGGUCCUAAGGUAGCGAAAUUCCUUGUCGGGUAAGUUCCGACCCGCACGAAAGGCGUAAUGAUUUGGGCACUGUCUCAACGAGAGACUCGGUGAAAUUUUAGUACCUGUGAAGAUGCAGGUUACCCGCGACAGGACGGAAAGACCCCAUGGAGCUUUACUGUAGCUUGAUAUUGAAUUUUGAUGCAGUAUGUACAGGAUAGGUAGGAGCCUAGGAAUCAUGCACGCCAGUGUAUGAGGAGGCGUUGUUGGGAUACUACCCUUGCUGUAUUGAAAUUCUAACCCUCGGCAUAGAAAACCGGGAGACAGUGUCAGGUGGGCAGUUUGACUGGGGCGGUCGCCUCCUAAAGAGUAACGGAGGCGUUCAAAGG